rnacentral:rRNA from 1 species
UACAGAGGUCUCAAGCGUUGUUCGGAUUCAUUGGGCGUAAAGGGUGCGUAGGCGGCGCGGUAAGUCGGGUGUGAAAUCUUGGAGCUUAACUCCGAAACUGCAUUCGAUACUGCCGUGCUUGAGGACUGGAGAGGAGACUGGAAUUUACGGUGUAGCGGUGAAAUGCGUAGAUAUCGUAAGGAAGACCAGUGGCGAAGGCGGGGUCUCUGGACAGUUCCUGACGCUGAGGCACGAAGGCCAGGGAGCAAACGGGG